GACGGGACCCGCACAAGCAGCGGAGCGUGUGGUUUAAUUCGUUGCUACACGAAGAACCUUACCAGGGUUUGACAUGCAAGUGGUAGGAAACUGAAAAGGGACCGACCUUCGGGGAGCUUGCACAGGUGCUGCAUGGCUGUCGUCAGCUCGUGUCGUGAGAUGUUCGGUUAAGUCCGCUAACGAGCGCAACCCUCACUGUGUGUUAUAUGUGUCACACGGGGACUGCCGGUUUUAAGCCGGAGGAAGGUGGGGAUGACGUCAAGUCAGCAUGGCCUUUAUAUCCUGGGCUACACACACGCUACAAUGGUCGGUACAAUAGGUUGCCAAGCCGCGAGGCGGAGCCAAUCCACAAAGCCGGCCUCAGUUCAGAUUGUAGGCUGCAACUCGCCUGCAUGAAGAUGGAGUUGCUAGUAACCGCAGGUCAGCAAUACUGCGGUGAAUACGUUCCCGGGUCUU
rnacentral:rRNA from 1 species